CCAAGAUCAAUUUGUAAAAAGGGAUCGUCAAGAAGCUCCCUAGCAGAAAGCCUCUCGGAUGCAGUCGCAAGGCAUUUUUCAACGAAUUCCCUGACCUCAGGAUCUUUAACUCGGUAUAGUGCUUCCGGCUUCAUUCCCUGGUGGGUGCAUUCGCUAUAAGGGUACUCAAAGGUGACCAUUUCCAGCACACACAUCCCGAACGAAUAGAUGUCGACUAGUUCAUUGUAUUCUUCCUCAUACACCUCCGGUGCCAUGAACUCCGGUGUGCCUGUAAGUGAUUUCAAAAACCAUCCAAAAAACGGUUACAUACUACUGCCACAAGGAAUUUGAUGGGCAAAGAUCCAAAAGUCUAUGAUCAUACCCACGCAAUGGAUGGCGUGUGAUUUCCGAAGAAUGGCAGCAAGGCCAAGAUCCCCAAUCUUGACCUCGCCUUGAUUGCCAUUGAUGAAGAUAUUGUCACACUUGAGGUCCCUAUGGAUGAUUGGGGGAUCAUGGCUAUGGAGAUAGAGAAGGCCACUAAUAAUCUGCCUACACCAAUGCUUCACUGCCCUGAUGUUAAUCCUUCUGUGCUUUUGCCUAUACCUAUCCACAGAUCGUAAACCGCUACCGAUCGGAACACAAACAGAUUGUUUUAAGGUAUAAGGACAGAAGAAACAAGCAACAAGAUCGACUUACUGCCUGAGGGUGCCGGAGGUGAACAACUCAGUGACAAAAUUGAUGUUCCUCUCAGCGGUGUCCACCCACGAGGUGUAGAACUUCAUAAUGUUCCUGUGCUUCAAGGUCUUGAGGAGGUGGAUCUCACAGUAGAGCCUCUCCAGGUUCUCGGGGCUCUGCAGGAAAUCAUACAGCUUCACUUGGUUCCAAGCAACCUCAAUCCCUUCGUACUCAUCGAAAGCCCUAUAACUGGCGGCAAGAAAAUCCCCCCCCAAAAAAAAGAGGGCAAAAGAUCAGAAAAAGCAAAAGCCUGCAAAUCAAGCGACAAGAAACCCAGAUUUAGGUUAAGAAAUGCUUCGUACACUGUCUUGGAAGCGCCCUUGCCCAGGAUCUCGUUGUACUGCGCAGAAACAAGCCAAAAGAAAAAAAGAUGAAAUCUUUACCCCCAAACUGGAAUCUAUCUUUAGCAGCAAUCAACGAAAAGGAUGAAGAAAGAAAGAAAGCAAGAAGUGUCACUACCCUUCCAUAUCUUCCUGUGGGAUCGACCUCGACGAACUGGAGGUGAUUCGGGUCUUCCGCUUCACUGCCCAUCCCUGAAGAACAUGAAGGAUCCUGAUCGCCGAGAAGGGGGAGGGGCGGCGGAGGAAGCGGAGGAAUCAAGGUGGAAGAUAAGUCGAAGGAAUGGGCAUGGGGAUUUCCACCAAACAAGAAGAAGAAGAAGAGAUCUUCGCAAGAAAUCAAAGGCACAAGGAAGGCUGGCUGGCUAGCUGGCUAGCUGGCUCAUAAGUUUUCUCAACUGGGAGAAAAGAGUCCCCAUCCCAUAGGACAAAAGCAGGACGAGAUGAAACCACCUUUAAUUUCUUUUUUUUUUAUUCAAUUAUUUUAAAUAUUUUAUUUAAUAGAUUUAAUUAUCCUUUUAUUUCAUCA